ACCACGGUAGCCGAGUUGGUAGUGUCGUCGGCAGUGUAGAUACCGAAAGUUGCAGGUUAAAAUCCUGCCUGCGAUG